GGCGAACGGGUGAGUAACACGUGGGUAAUCUGCCCUGCACUCUGGGAUAAGCCUGGGAAACUGGGUCUAAUACUGGAUAUGACCUUUCUCCUUAUGGGGUUUGGUGGAAAGUUUUUCGGUGUAGGAUGAGCCCGCGGCCUAUCAGCUUGUUGGUGGGGUGAUGGCCUACCAAGGCGACGACGGGUAGCCGGCCUGAGAGGGUGAUCGGCCACACUGGGACUGAGAUACGGCCCAG
rnacentral:rRNA from 1 species